rnacentral:rRNA from 1 species
GAUGAACGCUGACAGAAUGCUUAACACAUGCAAGUCAACUGUGGCGGACGGGUGAGUAACGCGUAAAGAACUUGCCUCACAGAUAGGGACAACAUUUGGAAACGAAUGCUACUACCUGAUACUGUGAGAGAGCUUUGCGUCCAAUUAGCAAGUGGGAGAGGUAACGGCUCACCAAGGCGAUGAUGGGUAGCCGGCCUGAGAGGGGGAUCGGCCACAAGGGGACUGGGACACGGCCCUUACGCCUACGGGAGGCAGCAGCGGGUAAUAUUGGACAAUGGACCAAAGUCUGAUCCAGCAAUUCUGUUUGCACGAUGAAUUUUUCGGAAUGUAAAGUGCUUUCAGUUGGGAAGCAGUACCAACAGAAGAAGUGACGGCUAAAUACGUGCCAGCAGCCGCGGUAAUAC